AUUACUAUGGCCACCUGAAGGAGCCACUGCUCACAUUUCACCUUUUUGAUGCUUUCGUCAGUGUAUUAGGUUUGCUGCCGAAGGAGCAAAUGGCAACUGAGGCGUUUCAGAUUUGCUGUCUCCUUCUGCCUCCUGAAAACAGGAGAAAGUUACAGCUGCUGAUGCGGAUGAUGGCGAGGAUCUGCUUAAACAAAGAGAUGCCGCCACUGUGUGAUGGCUUCGGCACCCGCACACUGGUAGGUCGUUAACCUCUGCCCGUGACCUGUGUUUUCAGUAUGUAAUGCAACCUGGUCAGGUUUCCUGUUCUGAGAAGCCAGACAAGAGCAUGGCCAGCCGUCCACCCAGACUUACUGUGCUUUUGCUCUACGGUCCCUGAAGAGCAGAGUGGGAGGUGAAGAGGAGUAGGGAACAGGCUCUCCCUGUAGAGACAGCUGCUGUGUCUUUUCUUACCAUUUUAUGAAUGACUACCAACCGUCAACAAAGACAGUGAAGGUGAGCAGGCAGGAAAACCACAUUCUCCUGUUCCAGAGAGGAGGCGCUGUGACGGCUUCCGUAACAAGCAAGGGAGACAGCACAUGCAAUGGGGGAAGCAGCAGCUGCAUGGGUGCAAGGAGGGAGGAGAUGCCCAGCUGCUCGAGACCCCUCGGGAAGAGGGAGGAUCUCAUACACCUAUGGAUUCACGUGCUGUUCUGAUGUAUGCAUUCACUAUGGAAAUAUUUAAUUAAAACUAAUUAAUACUCCAUCACA
rnacentral:lncRNA from 1 species